rnacentral:lncRNA from 1 species
GGGAGCUGGUGGAGUGAAGACGCACCCCGCCCAGCCUGUGCGUGCUUAGUGUAGAGUCGCGGAGGAGUGGAGAGUAACAAAUUCACCAAGAAGAUAUCACAGAAGUUCUAGUCGUUGAACACAACUAGUGGCCAUGAGGAUGGCCAGUUCGACUCCUGGCCUCAUUCGGUGGGUUAAAGAUCCAGCCUUGCGGUGAGCUGUGGUGUAGGUCACAGACACAGCUGGGAUCACGCGUUGCUGUUGCUGAGGCUGUGCGGUAGACCAGCAGCUGCAGUGCCCAUUUGACCCCUAGCCCAGGAACUUCCAUAUGCCAAUGGUGCAGCCCUAAAAAAAGAAGAAAAAAGAAAAGGUACGACAAUUUUAAAUGUCCACAUGCCUAAUAAAAGAACUUAAAAAUGUAUAAUGCAAAAACCAGUAGAACUAAAAGAAGAAACAGACAAAUCCAUGAUUGUAGUUAAGACUUUAACUCUUGGUAACUGACAAAACAGACAGACAAUAAAUCAGAUUUUUUUAAUUUCCAGGCAUGUUAGAAAAUUUCUGUCCAAUCUUAGCUGAGCACUAAGCUAAGAGAACAGAGACUUCAGUGGCCACACACAACAAAUAGACUUUACAAAAUUAAUUCAGAAAAUUUAUUAAACAACAACUACUACAAGCAGUAACAAUGGACUGUGUGGAGGGAAGAGAAUCUGAUUUCCAGAGAUGUCACAUUAUGGUAUUUGAAAUGUCCAGUUUUCAAAAAUUAUGAGGCAUCCCAAAAAAUAAGAAAGUAUGGCCCAGGAGUUCCAGUCAUGGCUCAGUGGAAAUGAAUCUGACUACCAUCCAUGAGGACGUGGGUUUGAUCCCUGGCCUUGCUCAGUGGGUUAAGUAUCCAGCAUUGCCAUGAACUGUGGUGUAGAUUGCAGAUGAGGAUCAGAUCUGGCGUCGCUGUGGCUGUGGUGCAGGCCAGCAGCUACAGCUCCAAUUGGACUCCUAGCCUGGGAACAUCCAUAUGCCGCAGGUGUGGACCAUAAAAGACAAAAAAAAAAAAAAAAAAAAAAAAAA